rnacentral:rRNA from 1 species
UGGGGAAUUUUGGACAAUGGGCGCAAGCCUGAUCCAGCCAUGCCGCGUGCGGGAAGAAGGCCUUCGGGUUGUAAACCGCUUUUGUCAGGGAAGAAAAGGUUCUGGUUAAUACCUGGGACUCAUGACGGUACCUGAAGAAUAAGCACCGGCUAACUACGUGCCAGCAGCCGCGGUAAUACGUAGGGUGCAAGCGUUAAUCGGAAUUACUGGGCGUAAAGCGUGCGCAGGCGGUUAUGCAAGACAGAGGUGAAAUCCCCGGGCUCAACCUGGGAACUGCCGUUGUGACUGCAUAGCUAGAGUACGGUAGAGGGGGAUGGAAUUCCGCAUGUAGCAGUGAAAUGCGUAGGUAUGCGGAGGAACACCGAUGGCGAAGGCAAUCCCCUGGACCUGUACUGACGCUCAUGCAAGAAAGCGUGGGGAGCAAACAGG